GACGGACGCUGGCGGCGUGCCUAAUACAUGCAAGUAGAACGCUGAAGGAGGAGCUUGCUUCUCUGGAUGAGUUGCGAACGGGUGAGUAACGCGUAGGUAACCUGCCUGGUAGCGGGGGAUAACUAUUGGAAACGAUAGCUAAUACCGCAUAAUAGUAGAUGUUGCAUGACAUUUGCUUAAAAGGUGCAAUUGCAUCACUACCAGAUGGACCUGCGUUGUAUUAGCUAGUUGGUGAGGUAACGGCUCACCAAGGCAACGAUACAUAGCCGACCUGAGAGGGUGAUCGGCCACACUGGGACUGAGACACGGCCCAGACUCCUACGGGAGGCAGCAGUAGGGAAUCUUCGGCAAUGGACGGAAGUCUGACCGAGCAACGCCGCGUGAGUGAAGAAGGUUUUCGGAUCGUAAAGCUCUGUUGUAAGAGAAGAACGAGUGUGAGAGUGGAAAGUUCACACUGUGACGGUAUCUUACCAGAAAGGGACGGCUAACUACGUG
rnacentral:rRNA from 1 species